rnacentral:tRNA from 1 species
GGGCCGGUGGCGCAGGUUGGUAGCGCGCCGCCUUCGCAAGGCGGAGGUCGGGGGUUCAAGUCCCCCCCGGUCCA